GUUCGGAUUGUAGGCUGCAACUCGCCUACAUGAAGUCGGAAUCGCUAGUAAUCGCGGAUCAGCAUGCCGCGGUGAAUACGUUCCCGGGCCUUGUACACACCGCCCGUCACACCAUGAGAGUUUGUAACACCCAAAGCCGGUGGGGUAACCUUUUGGAGCCAGCCGUCUAAGGUGGGACAGAUGAUUGGGGUGAAGUCGUAACAAGGUAUC
rnacentral:rRNA from 1 species